GACGAACGCUGGCGGCGUGCUUAACACAUGCAAGUCGAACGGAAAGGCCCUGCUUUUGUGGGGUGCUCGAGUGGCGAGCGGGUGAGUAACACGUGAGUAACCUGCCCUUGACUUUGGGAUAACUUCAGGAAACUGGGGCUAAUACACGAUAGGAGCUCCUGCUGCAUGGUGGGGGCUGGAAAGUUUCGGCGGUUGGGGAUGGACUCGCGGCUUAUCAGCUUGUUGGUGGGGUAGUGGCUUACCAAGGCUUUGACGGGUAGCCGGCCUGAGAGGGUGACCGGCCACAUUGGGACUGAGAUACGGCCCAGACUCCUACGGGAGGCAGCAGUGGGGAAUAUUGCACAAUGGGCGGAAGCCUGAUGCAGGAACGCCGCGUGCGGGAUGACGGCCUUCGGGUUGUAAACCGCUUUCGCCUGUGACGAAGCGUGAGUGACGGUAAUGGGUAAAGAAGCACCGGCUAACUACGUG
rnacentral:rRNA from 1 species